UGAUCCCACCCAGCACAAUCGAAUUAUGGGUGCUGUCCAUGAGCCUGGCCACUGGAUAUUAACUUUGAUAUUACCCUAGGAAAGACGCAGUAUUGUGGUGGACCCCCUAGGCAGUGAUUAACGCAAGGUCAAACUAUGUUUGCAGUCUACAAGGGCAUUCAUCCGGAAGAAGGUGCAAUGUGUCGAGGUGGACAGCCGGCACUGUUCCAUACACCCUGCAGGGGGACGACGACUCCAGCGGUGCCUUUGUCCUGAAA